AUUGGUGGAGGCUGGUAGCAGCGUCCGUCUUUCAACCAAUGGACUCCGCUCUCUCUUCCCUUUGGUGAAGUCGGCUUCUCCUCCGGGCCGGCAGAGGGCGCGAUAGCACGGGGCUCGAAGCCUAGGAGGCUCUCUGGCACGGAAGUGACAUCACGCCACCGGAAAUCCGCGGCCGCCGCGGUUGGGAGCCGUGCGUUCGGUGUUCCGUGAAGCCUUGGCGGAAUCGUUUCCGCCCUCGGCUGGUGCUAAGUGAGAAAACCGAGCUCCUGCAGGCAGGCCCUUGCACGUAUUCACUCAGCGAGAAACUCUCCUGAGACCAGCGCGCUCCCACACGGCUCAGCGGAGGGACAGCCCCUAUGGGAGCAUUCCUCCGCCUGGGGGGCCGCCCGAGGCUGGUCUCCCAGAAAUACCCCCUUUCACAGAUGGGGAAAACGAAACCCAGAGAGGGACAGGCAAAUGGAACAUGAAACCUUUUGAAAGGCUCCAGUGAGAAAUCUGUUCAAACUCCCUGCCAGCUGCUGUCACUUUAAAAGCCACAGACGCAUCUCCCCAGUGAACCUGCCUCAGACAAGGUAAUGAGUUAGGCCUAGAUCUCACUGCAGCCAGCGGUCUUAGCAGGGCAUCUGCUGCCCUUGGAAGCAGACACCCGCUUCCAGCAGAAGAACCUAUGUUUGCCCUCUCCUUCCCUUUCCUCCAAAAAAGCAGGAGUGGGUCCAGGUCUGCUUGGGCAUCAAAACAGAAGUCUCAGAAAUGGCCUCAUAGACGAGGGCUGAGCCCAGCACGGUAAUAUGUAAAACCUGGUCGGGGGUGAAUAACUAAGGGGCAGUAGAGUGACCCUUUCUGAUUGGUCUCUGAAUCUCUUGGUGUCCUGUCAGCCUAUUUAGUGUCAAAGUAUCAAAAAGUAGGCCAAGCCUGGAAAAGAUAUCUCUGCUUUUGACAAGCACCCAGUUCACUCAGAACACACUGCCUCAUUAGAUGACCUCAGAGCCACACACAGGACCCAGGACUGGCUGAGAUGCUGAGACAGGAUGACGAGAUAUGAUAUUAUGACUUACAAUAAUAAAUGUACAUUUUGUUUUCACCCCCAUUCCUGGCACAGAGAUCCUAAAAAUCUUUGGAAUUUCCUAAGCGAUGAGAGUGACAAAGGUGUCUUUUGCUAUAUCCUACCCUCAAACUCUGGGGAGGGGAGGAGGCUGGAGAUUGAGUUCAAUCACCGGUGGCCAAUGAUUUCAUCAGUCCCGUGUAGGUAAUGAAGCCUCCAUAAAAACCCAAAGGACAGGGUUUGGAGAGCCUCCAGGCUGGUGCGACAUGGAGGUGCUGGGAGGGAGGCGCACGCUUUCUCCACACCUUGCCCUGUGCAGCUCUUCCUCUGGCCAUUCCUGAGUUACAUCCUUUCACAAUAAACCAGGAAUAUAGGAAGUAAAGUGUUUCCCUGAGUUCUGUGACCCAUCCUAGAAAAUUAAUUGAACCCAAGGAAGAGAGUCAUUGGGACCUCCAAUCUACAGCCUGUCGGUCCAAACACAAGGCACAGCCUGGACUUGGUGAUUGGUAUCUGAAGUGGGGUGGGGCGGGGGCCGUGAGGAAGUCUUCUAGGACUGAGCCCUUAACCUAUGGGAUCUGAAGUGAUCUCUAAGCAGAUAGUGUCAGAAUUGAAUUGAACUGUGGGAUACCCAGCUGGUGUCAGAGAAUUGCUUGGCGGUGUGGGGGAGGAAAAAAACAACAACAACCCACAUACCAGGCUUACCCAGAGAGAAGCUCAAGUGAAGGUAUAAAAACAUUAUUAAUAUGUCUGGAACAGACAAAUCCAUGGGGAUGGAAAGUAGAUGAGUGACUGCCAGGGGCUGGGGAAGGGGAAAAAGAGGAGUGAAUGCUGAUGAGCACAGGGUUCCUUUUUGAGGUAAUAUACAUGUUCUGGGAUCGGACAGUAGUGAUGGUUGUACAAACUCCGUGAAUUAUACUAAAAACCACUGAAUUCCGUGCUUUGAAAGGGUGGAUUUUAAGGCACGUGAAUUACAUUUUAAUGGUUUUUAAUUGCGGAAGAAAAAUCUUUUGAAUCCCCUGUAGCAGCGAGGGGAACUCUAAAUCUGAACUCCUUUGCUAAGCAACUCACAUACCCCAGGUGCAUAGCCUGGGACCCUAGCAGUGUGAAGGAGGCUUUAUCCUGAUGAUAGACUUCCAGUCGAGAAGACGUCACUCUCAGGGCCCCUGGCACUGGAUGUGGCAGUGCCCCGGGGCCACCCUGUUAUGGCAGUUACUGCCUGAGUAAGUGACACCAACCUCCAUGUAUUUGUAUUACUCCUACUGCCUUGCAGACCUGCAAGGAGAGUAAGGGUGCAGGUCUCCUCAAGACCUCUCAAACACCCAUCUCUUGGCUCUUUAUCUUUGGUAUGUAUUUCCAGAGCCGUGUCAGAUAUUCAGUUGCCCCUGUGUUGGGCCAGGCCUUAGGCUGGGUAUUGGGUUCACAUCGAGGCCCCUCACCAGUCAGGAGAUGCAGCUCUAGGGCUGAAGGGUGGCAGGCAGCUCUGACCCCUACCUCAACCCUAACAGCUCACUCUUCCUCAUGACACCAGGCAUCGCAGCCUAUGCAGAGGAAGGAGAUGAGUCAGAGAAGCUGGGUGCCAGUGGGAGAGACUGCAGCCAGGUCAGGACUGAAGCAGAGGGCAUGGGGUCAUCAGUGUAGGGUGGGCUAGGCCCUGGCCUAGCCCAGGCUGCUUUGUGAAUUGAACUGCUAGAUUCCACUGAAGUAUUAAAAAAAAAAAAAAAACACCCUAAAUAUUUAUUUGCUUCAUAUUUACAAAGUAGGAAGGAGACCAAGGGAGACCCCCAAGAACACCCCCACACCUGGCUGACCAGGCCCCUUGCGCUGCAGAGGAGUCAGACACAACUGGAAGGGACAGGAUUUAUGUUGCAUACUUGAACUACAGUGAGUGUAAGACUGGUCCUAUUUACAGGGCAGAAACACUACAGGUGGGGCAUGGGAGGCAGCAGAGUGAGCACCAGAGUCCUGGCCAAAGGGUGCCCCUGCUCGCCGCCUUCCCCAAGUCUCCCAGAGGCAUCUCUGCGGCCCCGCUAGAGUUCUCCAGGGGUGGGGGGGGAACGGGGUCCGCUCACAUGAUGCUCGCCGGCGUGAAGACAGGGCCCACGCACAAGGUGUCUGUGAUCUCCCAGCCACAGGACAGAGGCUUGCACAUGCCCUCGGUGUCCUCGUCCUGUUCUGCAGGCAGCAGCUGCCCUCGAAGGGCUUCCCUGCAGGCAAGAGAGGGGCACUGGAGGCAGCCAGCAUGGGGCCCACAGGCCAGGGGCUCCGGAAGGCCCCUGCACCAGAAGACCCAGCCCCCUCGGUAUAGGGUUCCCACAUGGGCCCCAGAGCCCAGCCUAGGGCAGGAGUGGGGCAGGUCUGCUGAACUGUCCCCGCACCGCUCUAUUCUCCCCUAUGGUCCAGCUCCACAGUAAGGGGAGAGGAACCCACAUUUAUUGAGCACUCACACUAUAUGCCAGACGUUGUGCCAGGCACUUUACUUACAGUGUCUAAUUGUAUCCUCCCCCAAAUCAUAUAAGCGCAGCAUUACUAUCCCCAUUUUACCGGUAAGGAAGUUGAGACCCAGAGAGAAGUGACCUGCACAAGGUCACAUCCUUAGAAGGUGGUAAAACUAGGAUUCAACCCAACUGUUUCCAUCUAAAUCCCACAAUCUUUAUAGCCCAGGCUUAGGACUUUAAAGAAUAAAAUCAUCUCCUGCCCCCUCUCAAAAUCCCUACGAGCCUACCUACCCAGGUUGAUAAAUGGCUCUACCAUCUGACCAGCUGCUCAGCCACAAGUUGGGAAUCUUGUUCUCACACCCAGUCCAUCCCUGCCAAACCCAGCUCCAGAAUUCCCUCACAGGCAGCCAUCUCUCUCCAUUCCCAGUGCUGCCACCAUCUCCAGCCGGGGCUACACGGCCUCCCUGCUCUGCUCCUGCCACCACACGAUUCAGGCCCAGGUUGGUCUUUCCAGGAGGCAAAUUCCUGUCCUUGAGUCAUCAGCAGCUUCUGUUUGCUCUCAGACGCUGCCCAGCCCAGUCUCCCACCUGCAGGAGGGCCUCCCUCUUUGCUGAUGUGUGCAGUUGGUGAUCAGGCUGUUCCCUUCUGGCGGAAGGCUCCCCAGGCCAAGCACCCUCUGUCUGUCUCCUCAUCGCUCGAAACGGAUUGGCCCAGUUUCUUAAAAAGUAUCAGUGGCUCUCUACUGCCUUCCAGAUCAAGUCCAACCUGGACCUGCAAGGCCCUCCUCCAUCCAGUCUUCCGCACAGGCCACUCCAGUCAGGCACAACUACUUGCAGCUCUGUGAAUGGGCUGGACUCAAGCCCCCACAUCUCUCAGCCCAGACUGCUCCCUUUCAGCUUUCCCGCGCCUGGCUGCCUCCUCCGUACCCAUCAGCCCUGACCACCCCUCCCCAGUCUGCCGUCUCUCACUCCCCAGUACCUUUCUGCCCUCUGUGCCAGUGUCCACGUGUGCAGGUCACCAUGCUGUCUGAGGUGCUCUUUUCCCCCCAGGGCCCAGCACAGAGCCAGGCUUGAAAGCAGGAUGUUUUGCCGGGAUUUCUUUGAUAUGGGGAAUUUUUCGGCAUGGUCAUUUUAAUACAUCAAAAUUUUUUGUUUCUAGUAAUGAAGAAACUGACUCCCCACAACCUCCUCUGUUUGCUUAAGGUGGAGCUGGGAUGGGAUAAGGAGGCCUGUGUGGUAGAUUUUUUAAGUUUGUUUCAGGCCUUGUCACAAUAUCCCUGAGGUCACAAUGGCUGCAUCAGUCCAUCCUGUGUCCUUGCGGGGAGGAGGUACAACCAAGGACUGUUGACUGGAUGAAUGAAAUGUGACUUUGAUGCUGCGCCCCAUCAAGCGGGGGUUGCUACAUUGUUGGGGGGAGGGGGUCCCUCAAGCAUCUAGUGUGUCCCCCAGGACACAGGCAGCACUCACUCCUGAGGCCCAACAUGGAAGUCCCCCCAACUGCUCCUGCCUCCCCAGGCAUCUCCCAGCCCCGAAAGGGGGCUCUUCACCACUGACCAGAACUCUCUGUGAUAGCACGGAUCCUGCAGAGUUGUGUGCAGGGUGCUGAGCUCCUCAGGGGAGGCUCCAUCUCAUUCAUGGCCAUGGCAAGGUGCCAAGUGCAGGCCUCACUUGGAAUCAGCAGCCAAGAGCUACUUGUCAAGCUGGAUUACAUGCAAGCCAGUCUCAA